rnacentral:rRNA from 1 species
GCACGGAGUUAGCCGGGGCUUCCUCUGGUGGUACCGUCAAGGCCUGGGGAUAUUAGCCCCAGACCCAUUCUUCCCACCCGACAGGACUUUACGACCCGAAGGCCUUCAUCGUCCACGCGGCGUCGCUGCGUCAGGCUUUCGCCCAUUGCGCAAGAUUCCUCACUGCUGCCUCCCGUAGGAGUGUGGACCGUGUCUCAGUUCCACUGUGGCCGGUCGCCCUCUCAGGCCGGCUACCCAUCGUAGCCUUGGUGAGCCGUUACCUCACCAACUAGCUAAUGGGACGCGAGCCCCUCCCCAGGCGCCAACUUUCAAUGAAGAGGUCAGCUUUAGAGGCAGGGUCCAAAGACCCCGCAUCGUCACCCGGUAUUAGCCCGCCUUUCGGCAGGUUAUUCCGGACCCAAGGGCAGGUUACCCACGCGUUACUCACCCGUUCGCCACUGUACCGGGGGUCUUGCGACCCCUUUCUCGUGCGACUUGCAUGUGUUAGGCACGCCGCCAGCGUUCGCU